rnacentral:rRNA from 1 species
GCGGUACAGGUGUAGCAACUACAUGCUUACGAGCGGCGGACGGGUGAGUAACGCUUGGGAAUCUGCCUAUUAGUGGGGGACAACCGGGGAAACGCGGGCUAAUACCGCAUACGCACUACGGUGGAAAGCCGGGGACCGCAAGGCCUGGCGCUAACAGAUGAGCCCAAGUCGGAUUAGCUAGUUGGUAGGGUAACGGCCUACCAAGGCGACGAUCCGUAACUGGUCUGAGAGGACGACCAGUCACACCGGAACUGAGACACGGUCCGGACUCCUACGGGAGGCAGCAGUGGGGAAUAUUGGACAAUGGGCGAAAGCCUGAUCCAGCGACGCCGCGUGGGUGAAGAAGGCCUGCGGGUUGUAAAGCCCUUUCGGUGGGGAAGAAAAGCCUCGAGCUAACACCUCGGGGUCUUGACGUAACCCAUAGAAGAAGCACCGGCUAACUCUGUGCCAGCAGCCGCGGUAAUACAGAGGGUGCGAGCGUUCAUCGGAAUUACUGGGCGUAAAGCGCGCGUAGGCGGCUUUGCAAGUCGGGUGUGAAAUCCCCAGGCUUAACCUGGGAAC